GAUGAACGCUGGCGGCGUGCCUAAUACAUGCAAGUCGAGCGAACAGACGAGGAGCUUGCUCCUCUGACGUUAGCGGCGGACGGGUGAGUAACACGUGGAUAACCUACCUAUAAGACUGGGAUAACUUCGGGAAACCGGAGCUAAUACCGGAUAAUAUAUUGAACCGCAUGGUUCAAUAGUGAAAGACGGUUUUGCUGUCACUUAUAGAUGGAUCCGCGCCGCAUUAGCUAGUUGGUAAGGUAACGGCUUACCAAGGCAACGAUGCGUAGCCGACCUGAGAGGGUGAUCGGCCACACUGGAACUGAGACACGGUCCAGACUCCUACGGGAGGCAGCAGUAGGGAAUCUUCCGCAAUCGGCGAAAGCCUGACGGAACAACGCCGCGUGAGUGAUGAAGGUCUACGGAUCGUAAAACUCUGUUAUUAGGGAAGAACAAAUGUGUAAGUAACUAUGCACGUCUUGACGGUACCUAAUCAGAAAGCCACGGCUAACUACGUG
rnacentral:rRNA from 1 species